rnacentral:rRNA from 1 species
GAGUGGCGAACGGGUGAGUAAUGCGUGACCGACCUGCCCCAUACACCGGAAUAGCUCCUGGAAACGGGUGGUAAUGCCGGAUGCUCCAGUUGAUCGCAUGGUCUUCUGGGAAAGCUUUCGCGGUAUGGGAUGGGGUCGCGUCCUAUCAGCUUGACGGCGGGGUAACGGCCCACCGUGGCUUCGACGGGUAGCCGGCCUGAGAGGGCGACCGGCCACAUUGGGACUGAGAUACGGCCCAGACUCCUACGGGAGGCAGCAUG